AACGCUGGCGGCGUGCCUAAUACAUGCAAGUCGAACGCUUCUUUCCUCCCGAGUGCUUGCACUCAAUUGGAAAGAGGAGUGGCGGACGGGUGAGUAACACGUGGGUAACCUACCCAUCAGAGGGGGAUAACACUUGGAAACAGGUGCUAAUACCGCAUAACAGUUUAUGCCGCAUGGCAUAAGAGUGAAAGGCGCUUUCGGGUGUCGCUGAUGGAUGGACCCGCGGUGCAUUAGCUAGUUGGUGAGGUAACGGCUCACCAAGGCCACGAUGCAUAGCCGACCUGAGAGGGUGAUCGGCCACACUGGGACUGAGACACGGCCCAGACUCCUACGGGAGGCAGCAGUAGGGAAUCUUCGGCAAUGGACGAAAGUCUGACCGAGCAACGCCGCGUGAGUGAAGAGGGUUUUCGGAUCGUAAAACUCUGUUGUUAGAGAAGAACAAGGACGUUAGUAACUGAACGUCCCCUGACGGUAUCUAACCAGAAAGCCACGGCUAACUACGUGCCAGCAGCCGCGGUAAUACGUAGGUGGCAAGCGUUGUCCGGAUUUAUUGGGCGUAAAGCGAGCGCAGGCGGUUUCUUAAGUCUGAUGUGAAAGCCCCCGGCUCAACCGGGGAGGGUCAUUGGAAACUGGGAGACUUGAGUGCAGAAGAGGAGAGUGGAAUUCCAUGUGUAGCGGUGAAAUGCGUAGAUAUAUGGAGGAACACCAGUGGCGAAGGCGGCUCUCUGGUCUGUAACUGACGCUGAGGCUCGAAAGCGUGGGGGAGCAAACAGGAUUAGAUACCCUGGUAGUCCACGCCGUAAACGAUGAGUGCUAAGUGUUGGAGGGUUUCCGCCCUUCAGUGCUGCAGCAAACGCAUUAAGCACUCCGCCUGGGGAGUACGACCGCAAGGUUGAAACUCAAAGGAAUUGACGGGGGCCCGCACAAGCGGUGGAGCAUGUGGUUUAAUUCGAAGCAACGCGAAGAACCUUACCAGGUCUUGACAUCCUUUGACCACUCUAGAGAUAGAGCUUUCCCUUCGGGGACAAAGUGACAGGUGGUGCAUGGUUGUCGUCAGCUCGUGUCGUGAGAUGUUGGGUUAAGUCCCGCAACGAGCGCAACCCUUAUUGUUAGUUGCCAUCAUUUAGUUGGGCACUCUAGCGAGACUGCCGGUGACAAACCGGAGGAAGGUGGGGAUGACGUCAAAUCAUCAUGCCCCUUAUGACCUGGGCUACACACGUGCUACAAUGGGAAGUACAACGAGUCGCUAGACCGCGAGGUCAUGCAAAUCUCUUAAAGCUUCUCUCAGUUCGGAUUGCAGGCUGCAACUCGCCUGCAUGAAGCCGGAAUCGCUAGUAAUCGCGGAUCAGCACGCCGCGGUGAAUACGUUCCCGGGCCUUGUACACACCGCCCGUCACACCACGAGAGUUUGUAACACCCGAAGUCGGUGAGGUAACCUUUAUGGAGCCAGCCGCCUAAGGUGGGAUAGAUGAUUG
rnacentral:rRNA from 1 species